GUUUUCUAAGUGAGCCCAGGAUAAGGGUAUCUGUGAUCCUGAAGUACUCAGCGUGACUCUCUCCUUACAUUUGAAUCUCCACUGAUAGGAGUGUCACCCAUUCCUGUGAAACACAGCACUCUUCAGUGAUCAAGAAUCCAAGCUGGCAUAAAGAACUUCUUCAUUAGGACAUCAAAACUGGAGGAAUAUUUUUGGUUUUUACUGUAACUUUUUCUUGGAAGUGUGUUCACUUAUUUCACGACCACCUAAGGCUCUCUAAGGCAUGCAGCAACACAGUUUGAGACAUCUCUGUGAUGUUCUGUACAUCAUAUAGUUGCUAACAACCUGUCAAAGUCAUCCUGACACCAAACUGAGAAGCCAAUAGUUUUAGUAACAUAUUAGCAGAGAUGAAAAAAGAUGGUCCUCAUUAUUGUAAUAAAAUCAACAGAGACACGCUGAGAAUCAAUUACUGAUUUUGUGACCUGUUGAACUAAACCUCAGUGAAGUGGGAAACUGCACAGAGCAUCUUACAUUAUCAAAUGAUUUAGGAUAGAGCACUGUCUGAAGACUUGCAACAAGUCAAGGCAAAUACGUUUCCUUAAAUUGUAGCUUGCUUAAUUACCUUGUUCAUGAGCACAAAGAUCAAAUUGAGCAACUUAAGGUGCUGAUGCACUGUGCCAGCUGGACAUGAAGAGGAAAUAAUUAACACACACAAGAGCCAAGUUUAAGGAUGAGACUCUUACUGACAACAGCAAGGAGAUCCAAAGUUAAGGCAGACACUGUGUCCUUGACUGGAUCCAUGUGCCUACAAUUUGCAGCACAUAUUGGACUGGGGAAGAGCACCAUGUGUUGCAGCCAUUUCAAGUAAGCAGAUGGCUUUUUAAAGCACUCGAUGUAGGGAAAGCAAAGCCCUUUCAAAGGCUGGCAUUUCACUCUCAUUAUUUGUCACAGAUUGUUCCACUCUUGCCUUUGCAACACCCGAGUAUCAUCAAGAAAACUUUCUUUCAUGAAAGGUACUGUGCAAACAAAAAUAUAUAAAUUUUUUAUAUAAUGAAGGUACCAAUGAAAUAGGAAAUUAGUAAUGGUAUUUCAUAGCUGUAAAGCAACAUCCAAAAUUAUUUCCUUUCUCUUUUCUAAAACCUAGCCUUGAAGAGAAAACUGAAAUUUGCUUAAAAAUCUUCUUCAUGCUCCAUCGCUCUUCUCAAGGCCACAGCAACAUCUUUCUUCCUACUGGAACAUCUCCCAAAAGCAAUGUUUUUCCUCCAUAAGCAAGCUCAGCAGCACUAAGGUGCACAGUAAUUGUUGACCAAUGAAGAACCGAACCUACGAGGCCAACUUCCAUUACUUCCUGCAUUUUUCUCAGAGGAUCUCCUAUGCCUGCCUGAAGGCACCCAAGAUAAACACAAAGAAACCACCUCAUUCUAGCAUAUCAUCUUGAAGGAUGGACUCUUUGGAGUACUGCACACUACAGAAUUGUUAUGAUCAGAGGGGCCAGAUGUCACCAGCUGAGUCAUUCAUUUGAUGUUGCACCAUUGCGUGGUACUGCUGCCAUAGAUACUGCCCUGCCCUUAUGGUGGCUGCUGUGAUUCAUUGAAAGUAAUAUCAUCCCAACUGCCACUCCAGGGAAUCUUGCAGGCAUGAUUUUCUAACACAGAACGACCCAUUAAAAAUAACUGCCAGAAAUACUGCACUUUAUAAAAGGGCAUCUUUAUUAAUUCUCACGGUGGGUCACCAGAAAGUCCCAGGAACUACUGUACUCAUGGGGUAAUUUGUAGUUAUCAGAAACAUUGCAUUUAAUGUCUUUAUUCCAGUGGAACUGGAGCCCACUGGUUACUAAACAGCCUCCUCCUCUUAAAUCACAGAAAUAAAAGAGGAGAGAGACUCAUCAGAUUAUUUUAUCAAUCCACUCUUUGAAUGCAAAAUUGGCAAAUGUAUAGUCUUUGCCGCCAAAACAUUCAGAGCCAGGGACACUCACCACUGUGCUACAUGCCACUUCACUUAUCAGUGCCUACUAGUGUUUGGCCUUUCUCCUAAAACAAUGAAUUCCUGUGUAUGCAGCACAGCACUUCAGCCUUUGGAUAGAGCCUCAUCCAAAGAAUAGACUCUAAAUGACUGCAGAGUGCUGUGGACUGAUUCACUCACCUGAUCUGUUUAUUCUUCCAACUCUAUUGGAGUAGGACCUGGUGUUUCACUUGGGUAGUUAGACUGAAGGAUUCUAAACUUCUAUUUUUAUCAAGUGAAAGACUCUUCUCAGAACUAAACAAAAAUUCCACAA